AGCGUAGGUGGACUUUUAAGUGAGAUGUGAAAUACCCGGGCUCAACUUGGGUGCUGCAUUUCAAACUGGAAGUCUAGAGUGCAGGAGAGGAGAGUGGAAUUCCUAGUGUAGCGGUGAAAUGCGUAGAUAUUAGGAGGAACACCAGUAGCGAAGGCGGCUCUCUGGACUGUAACUGACGCUGAGGCACGAAAGCGUGGGGAGCAAACAGGAUUAGAUACCCCAGUA
rnacentral:rRNA from 1 species